UUGCCUGGAAUAAUAAAGGAAAAUUAGUGAUAAAAAUUGAUAAGUAAAAAUAGUAUAAAAAUGCCUUAAAUAUAAGCAAGUUUUAAUUUAUUACUAUGAACUUUAUGUUUUUUAUUUUUAAUCAAAAUAGUGUAAUUUACUGGUGAAUUAAUUUCUGUAAUUUCAUAAGGACCUGAAUAAUUUGGAGAAAGUUUCCUUGACCUAUUUAAUUUUGAUUGUUCGUUUAAUAGAAAUACUUUGUCACCAAUUUUAAAAUUUUGGUUUUGACAGUUCUUAUCAUAAUAUUUUUUAGAUUGUUCUUUUGAAUCUAAGAUGUGCUUUCUCGCAAUUUCGUGAGAUUUUUGCAGUUUUAAAGUUAAGUUAUCCAUGUAGUCAUCGUAAGUGUACUUAAAUUCAGGAGAUUUUGUUAUGCUUGUAGGCAAAUUUGCUUUAGUUCCGAAAAUUAAUUCAAAAGGUGUAUAUUUGGUUGAAGUAUGAACUGUUGUGUUGUAGGAAAACAUUGCAAAAUCUAACCAUUCAUCCCAGUCUGUUUGGUUUUCUCUAAUGUAGUGUUUUAAAUAAUCAGCUAAAGUGUGAUGACUUCUUUCCAAUGCACCAUUAGAUUGGGGAUGGUAUGCCGUACAGUUUAUCUGUUUAAUUUUGAACAGUUUUGCAAUUUGUUUUAAUAAAUUUGAGGUAAAAUCUUUUCCUUGAUCAGUUACAAUUGUUGAAGGUAUACCGUGUUUGCAAAUAAAGUCGUGAACUAAUUUUUUAGCAAUUGUUCCUGCUUCAUGAUUUGGAAUUGCAUAAGCUUGAGAAUAUUUAGAAAGAUCAUCCUGCAAUGUCAAAAUAAAUUUAUUACCAUUUUCUGAUAACGGUAGCGGUCCUACUAUGUCCAAAAAUAUGCGUUCAAAAGGAGUUUCACUUGUUGUUGUAAUCACCAUUGGUUCUUUACUUUUCUUUCGAACCAAUUUAUUUUUUUGACAUGACUCACACGUUUUUAUAAAAUUCUUGAUAUCAGAUUUCAUUCGUGGCCAUUUAUAAUAUUGUUUGAUUCGAUUAUAGGUUCUAUGAAAGCCCGAAUGUCCAGCACAAGGAUUUGAAUGAUAUUCCGUUAAAAUCUUCUUAAUUUCUUCUUGAGUGUUCGGAAUUACGAUUUCAUUUGAAAGUAUGUAAAUUUUAAUGUUAGUUUUUCUAAAAAUGUAUCUUAUCAUUGAACGAAUUUUGUGAAAAUGGAGUUUAUCAAAGGAAGAGUUUAAUUUAGGUAAGCUUAUGGAUUUUACAUUAUCAGCAAUUAAUCGGUUUUUUAAUUUUUGUAAAAUAUUAAACAAAUCUUCGUAUGAUAUAGAUUCCCAAUAAUGUUCUUUUGUUAUCAUAUAGUAAAUAUUUUUGUUAUUUGCUGAAUUUAUUGGUAUUUUGAUUACUUCGUUGACGUUUAAAGUUUCUGUUUGUAACAUUUGAUAGCUGUUAGUAAAUUUCUCUUUUAUUUGUAUUUGGACUAAUUCCUUACAUUCGAGAUCCUUUGAAAUGCAUAAACAGAUGUUAUCGGUUGAGUCGAUAAUAUUACCAUUAACUUCUUCAAUAUUAUCAUUGGUGAUAAGAGUUGUUCUUAUUUUUUUUAAGAAAUUCGCAUAUGAUUCAUCGUCGUCCUCAGUUCGGAAAUGAUUGACACACAGAUUAUCUAGAGGAAUUCGGCUGAGGGCAUCUGCAUUUUUAUUUAAUUUACCUGGUUUGUAGAGAAUUUCGUAAUCAUACUCCUCUAAUGCUAGUCGCCAACGUAUUAAUCUAGAACCCGGAUCUUUCACAUUAAAUAACCACGUUAAUGGACGAUGAUCAGUUAUGAUUUUAAAUUUUCUACCAUAUAGGUACGGUCGAAAAUGUUUUACACUCCAAACAAUAGCAAGAAGUUCUUUUUCCGUCGUUGAAUAGUUUGAUUCGGCCCUAUUCAAAGUUCUACUAGCGUAAGCUAUUGGUAAAUCAUUAGGAGGUUCACCUUGCGACAAAACUGACCCGAUAGCAAAAUUACUUGCGUCCGUUGUCAAAUAAAAUGUUUGUGUAAAAUCUGGAUACUGCAAUAAAGGUUCAUUGGUUAAUAUUGAUUUUAAAUUUUCAAAUGCGCGUUGUUGUUCACUAGUCCAAAUAAAUUCUGCGUUUUUUCUUAAUAAUUUGGUUAACGGUUGUGUUAAAAAAGAAAAAUUUGGAAUAAACCUUCUGUAAUAUCCGAUUAAUCCAAGGAAUGUUUUGACAUGCUUUUGUGAUUUUAGAAUAGGAUACUCUGAAAUAGCUUUAACUUUAUUGGGAUCAGGUUUAACACCUUGAUCAGUGAUUUUAUGUCCUAAAUACAUUACUUCGUGACGUAGAAAUUCGCAUUUGUUUAGUUGAAUUUUUAAAUUGUGUUCUGAUAGUCUUUGAAAUACCUCUCUUAAUUUUUUAUUAUGAUUUUCUAAAGUAUCUGCAUGAAUUACUAUGUCAUCUAAAUAAACAAAACAACGGUUAUUUUGAAUUCCAGAUAAAACAUUAUUCAUUAAUCGUUGAAAUGUCGCUGGUGCAUUUUUUAAUCCAAAUGGCAUACGAUUAAAUUGAUAGUGACCUGUGUGAGUAGAAAAAGCAGUUUUAGGAGCAUCUUCUGUAGACAUUUUUAUCUGAUGAAAACCUGAUGUUAGAUCUAUUGUUGAAAAAUAUUUUGAAUGUCCUAACUGGUCCAAAAUUUCAGAGAUAUUAGGAAGCGGAUAUGAGUCACCGACAGUUAUAUCAUUGAGCUUACGAUAAUCGACAACUAUUCGCCAUUUUUUCAUUCCGGAAGAGUCUGAUUUUUUAGGUACAACCCAUAUAGGAGAAUUCCAUGGUGAACUAGAUGGUUCGAUAAUAUUUUCAUCGAGCAUUUGAUUAAUUUGCUUAUUGACUUCUUCUUUAUGAACUUCUGGAAAUCGCAGCAAUGUUUAAUGUUGCAAUUCGGCGGAAAUUUGGUGGGCAGUCCUCGAGUUCUCCGCCAACGUCGAAGAGCCCGGGCAGUUUAAAUUACUGCCGUUUGAAUUUUGUAGGGACUGUGAUGAAGAUCUAAUGCGGGAAUUAUUAUUUUGUUCCUUUCGCGACUGGUUAUAUUGUAAUUUACGACACUCGUUAAUUAAAUGACCAUUGUUCUUGCAGUAA